UUCAGUCUUUCGAACGUAUGUAGUGCAGGGAAUAUGUGGCCGGUUGGAUUUUUGGUGUGUUUUUUUUGGUGGGGGGGAUAACUAUCUGUAUCAACUCAUAGCAAAAUGCUUCAAAGACACUACGAACUCCAGUGUCGACCAGCCACCAUGAGUGUAAAUUAGCCGUUUGAACGUGGAUGGACUUCAGAAGUCCUAUGGGCUGUGUCCGCUCAAGAGGUAAAACAAUAUCCAUGAUUACGUUUGACCAGUUUUAAAUUGGGCUGUCUGACAGUCAGAUUUGAGCAGGUCUGAAGUGUCUACCUAGCUUAAUUAACAAGCCUGUGAUGAAACAAGUUAUCCCUGUCUGAACAACAGUGUUGACUUACUGAAACCCCUGAGGCUUGAUGGGAGACUCGUAUGAUAUGAAUUGGUACGUUUUGGCAGUAGUCGGUUGAGUAACUGUAUUGUGUGGCGUAGUUUCUCAAGGUUAUAUGUAGCCAUGUUGCAUAGCAAGAUCAUUAAUUGAAGUUGUGCAGUAAUGGACUACUUGAGGGUGACGGGACAGUUGCUUGGUAAGUACUUUCUAUGGUCUCUUGUGACUCAAAUGGAGACAUUGAUUAGUUUACUUUGCACUGAAGAUGCUCUUGAGAAAUGCACAGCCCUGAAUGUGAAAGAAUGCCUUUGACCGUUGUGGUAAUGCGACCCAAACAUGGUCAUUUCUUUACAGGUCUGCCAACCUGGGUGUGAUUCCAUGAAAAUGUUCCAAUGAAGUUACUCCGAUGAGAGCAGUGCCGGUGGGUCAAGAGGACAGUUAAUUGGUCAGCCAACCUGGAUGUAAACCCCUGAAAAUACAGCAAGUAAUGCCAUUGGGAUCAGGUAAUGGGGUCAAAGACUUUGUGCCAAGGACAGGACUCAAGAACUGAAAUUCACAAAAUGAAUGAUCAGUGACUGACACAAAGAAACUAGUUCAAUGCAAACAUUAGAGAAUGUCAAGUUUUAAUGGUGUACUUAAUACCAGAAAGUCACAGGGCUUUAAGCCCCACAGUUAAUCAGUGUGAAAGGCUGAAUUGUAAGGUGCUUUCUUGAGUGUGUCCAGGAAGAACUGCUCGUCCUGCAGAAAGUCACGAUCCUAAGAAGAUAAAACAAGUGCAUUUAUCUACAAUAAAGAUUUUGAAACUA